rnacentral:rRNA from 1 species
GACAGAGGUCCCGAGCGUUAGGCGGAAUCACUGGGCUUAAAGCGUGUGUAGGCGGAUGCCUAAGUACCUUGUGAAAUCCCACGGCUCAACCGUGGAACUGCUUGGUAUACUGGGUGUCUUGAGCCACUUAGGGGCGACCGGAACAGACGGUGGAGCGGUGAAAUGCGUAGAUAUCGUCUGGAACGCCAAAGGUGAAAACAGGUCGCUGGGGCUGAGCUGACGCUGAGACACGAAAGCCAGGGGAGCGAACGGG